AGCAUGCGGUUGGGCUCGCAGCUGGCAGAGAGCUCCGAGGCUUCUAAAUAUAAAACGCGAGCGCACGCAAGAUCUUUCUCAUUGACCCGGCUUAAGUGAGCGGGCCGGGAUACACGCGCGCACCCACCCGGAGGUGAGACGCGGCGGCUCUGUUUCCACGAGUGACCAAAUGAAACGGCGAGAUGUCGUGCUUGUACCUUUGGGGGAUCAUAAAGCUCCAACUGGUAGCCCUCGCCUUCAGCGUCCCGGAUCCUCCUGACCAGCAGGCGGCAGCGCUGCCAUCGCGGCAAAGAGUCUGAGAUGGUGUCGUCCACCAGCAAGUACCUCAGCUGG